UGAAUACGAGAUGCUACGGCAUCGAAGCAGUCUAUGUCAUACUUCCGAGAAAAGCUUGCACUGUCAUAAACAAAUAAUGCCUGUACCAUAACCGACACAGGUGGGUAGGUAGAGUAUACUAAGGGGCGCGAGAUAACUCUCUCUAAGGAACUCGGCAAAAUGACUCCGUAACUUCGGGAGAAGGAGUGCCUUAUUUUAUAAGGUUGCAAUAACAAGAUCCAAGCAACUGUUUACCAAAAACACAGGUCUCCGCUAAGUCGUAAGACGAUGUAUGGGGGCUGACGCCUGCCCAGUGCCAGAAGGUUAAAGAAGUUGGUUAGCAUUAGCGAAGCUGAUAACUGAAGCCCUGGUGAACGGCGGCCGUAACAAUAACGGUCCUAAGGUAGCGAAAUUCCUUGUCGGGUAAGUUCCGACCCGCACGAAAGGCGUAAUGAUUUGGAUACUGUCUCGGAGAGGGGCUCGGUGAAAUAGACUUGUCUGUGAAGAUGCGGACUACCUGCACCAGGACAGAAAGACCCUAUGAAGCUUUACUGUAACUUGAGAUUGAAAUUGGACUUUAUUUGCGCAGUAUAGGUGGGAGACGUUGAAAAUAUUCUUGCGGGAAUAUUGGAGUCAUCAGUGAGAUACCACUCUUAUAAUGUUAGAUUUCUAACUUUGUAUCAUUAUCUGGUCAAAGAACAGUCUCAGGCGGGCAGUUUGACUGGGGCGGUCGCCUCCCAAACGGUAACGGAGGCGCACAAAGGUUUCCUCUGAACGUGUAGAAAUCGUAUCUAGAGUGUAAAGGCAUAAGGAAGCUUGACUGUGAGACCUACAAGUCGAGCAGGGACGAAAGUCGGUCUUAGUGAUCUGACGGUGCUGAGUGGAAAGGCCGUCACUCAACGGAUAAAAGUUACUCUAAGGAUAACAGGCUGAUCUCCCCCAAGAGUUCACAUCGACGGGGAGGUUUGGCACCUCGAUGUCGGCUCAUCGCAUCCUGGGGCGGUAGUACGUCCCAAGGGUUGGGCUGUUCGCCCAUGAAAGCGGUACGCGAGCUGGGUUCAGAACGUCGUGAGACAGUUCGGUCCAUAUCCGGUGUAGGCGUUAGAAUAUUGAGAGGAGCCUUCUUUAGUACGAGAGGACCGAGAAGGACAUACCUCUGGUGUACCAGUUAUCGUGCCAACGGUAAACGCUGGGUAGCUAUGUAUGGAGAGGAUAACCGCUGAAAGCAUCUAAGUGGGAAGCCCACCUCAAGAUAAG
rnacentral:rRNA from 1 species